GGAAAGGCAGUAAGGCUAGAACAAAUUGUAUACACAGGAAAAGAAGGAAAAAGCUCUCAUGGGUGUCCAAUUGCUAAGUGGGUAAGUACUUGAUAUUUGGAAAUGUUUGAAAAUACAGGUUAAAUGCUUUUUGGGGGCGGUCCCAUGAAAGUUUGGAUCAGAAAAAUAGCCACAAGGUGAUAACAAGGAAGUUUUCUGUUUUUGCCUGUGUUUUGCAUGUUAUUGCUAGAUGUACACCUUUAGAAUAUUGAACACUUGUCAUUUUUAUUUUAAAUAACCAGUUUUUUGUUUUUUUUUUUUAAACAAACCAGUUUUCCCUCAGAGCUUUUUAAAAGUUUUAUUCUCAGGUGUUAGAUGUUUCCUUUCCAGUUUAUUUGCCUUGUGUAUCUCAGCUACAUAUUCUCUAUAGUAAUGAAUUUAUAUUCUCCUAUCAAUUUUAUUCUAUGAAUUUAUUUCUUCAGAUAACUUCAAUUUUAUAUUGAUUUGAUGGUGAUGGUUUUAUCUUGUUUCUGUUUCAGCUGUGAUCCUUCUGGGAUUUUCUUAUUAAGUAUAGGUCAUCCUGACAGGUUUCUCUGGAGAGGGAAUAUUGAAACUGAGAAUUGAGUGAAGUUGGGCUUGGAUGCACAUGCCCACAGACACAGCUAUUAGGGAACUGAAUCAGGAGGAUCACUUGAGCCCAUGAAUUGCAGGCCAGUCUGAGCAACAGAGAGAUACAUCCUUUUUCCAGAAAAAACUAUAGAGUGCAGGAUGGAGUUUAGCUCAGCGCUAGAGCACUUGCCUCAUACUUGUGAGGCACUGGGUUUGAUUCCUAGUACCACAUAUAAAUAAGUAAAUAAAAUAAACGUCCAUCAACAACUAAAAAAAUAUUUUAAAAAAUCUAUAGAGUGAGCUAAAUAAAGAGGCAAACUAUGCAGAAUAAAAUACUCCCAAGAAUGUAGGGAAGAACAUUCCUAAGCCCAGAAACAGUAAGAGAAAAGGUCUUAGAUAAAGAAAAAGGGAACAUUGGGAGAAAAAGAAAAUGCCAGAAGUGUCCAGUGAAGUUGAGAAGAUAAGGAUUGGAAUCAGGUGAUGGUGAAAAGAUGGGCAGAUGCCAGAUCAUGAGUGUUUUGUCAGCCAUAGUGAGGAGUUGAUGUUUUAUUCUAUGAGCAAUAGAGAGCAUUUGAAACAUUUUCAGAUAGGGGUAAGCUAUCUAGUUUCUAAAUAGUAGUCUAAGGAAUUCAUUGGUAAAGUGUAUAUGAAUAUAUGUUGAUGCUUAACAGAUUACCUGAAAACCUGUGGUAUCUCUGAACAACAAUUAUGUUCUUUUGUGAGUUGGAAAUUCAAGAGCAGUUGACAAGGGUGCUUUUUGGCAGAGGGUGUCAGGAGGUUGUAGUCAUCUAGAAACUUGACUACUGAAAGGAGUGUGCUAUAGAUGCAGAGUCACUUCCAGACUCCCUGUUUGAGGCCAUAGGUGUUUUUUUUUUUUUUCUUUGUUGUUGUUGUUGUUGUUGUUGUUGUUUUGGUGGUGCUGGGGAUCGAACCCAGGGCCUUGUGCAUGCAAGACAAGCACUCUACCAACUGAGCUAUAUCCCCAGUAUAUAUCCUUGAUGGCUGUUGGCUGGAGGCCUCAAUUCUUCAUCAUAGAACUGUUUAAAUAUUCCCUUGGCCUGGAAGGUUAGUUUUACAUGCACCCCCCACCCUGAAAUAAAAGGGCAAAGAGGAACCUAUGGUGUCUUCAUGGUGCCUAUGUAGAUCAGUGCUGUUUGGUGGACAGGACAAUGUAAGAGCACAAAUAUCAGGAAGUAGUGAACUUUGGGGCCAUCUUAGAGACUGUCAAGCACAAAAUCAACAUCCAUUCUUCAAUAAAAAUAAAUAAGUUACACUACAUUGAGCUGGAUGUGGUGGCACAUGCCUGUAAAACUAGCUACUUGGGAAGCGGAAGCAGGUGAAUCCCAGGUUAAAGGCCAGCCUCAGCAACAAAGAGAAGGCCUAAACAAUUUAGUAAGAAGAACCUGUCUCAAAAUAAAUUUUUCCCUGUGCAAUGCUCUGGAGGUUGAGACAGGAGGAUCAAAGCUAAUCUUAGAAAAAUCUACUCAGUGAGACCCUGUCUCUCAAAGUAAUACAAAAUAGGACUGAGGGUGUGGCUCAGUAGUUGAGUGUCCUUGAGUCAAUCCCUGGUACCAAAAAAGUGGGAGGGGAUGUUGCUCAGCAGUUAAGCUCCCCUGGAUUCACUCUCUAGAACCCCUCCUUCUUCCCUGCCAUAAAAAGAGCACUAUAUUGGCAUAUUAAAAUUUGUUUAUCUUAUUUGUAUCUUCUCUAAAUGGCUAAUGCUUUCAUUUUUUGAAUAUUAUAGCAUAAUGCUGUUAAAGAUCAAUGCUGUUCAUUAUGGAAUAUGUCAAGAGCAAAGUUUAUAAAAUGUAAGAAUACGAUUUGUCCAUAAUUAUAAAAAGAAGUCAGUUGUAAUGGAAUUGCUAUAAUCUCAGCUACUGGUGAGGCUGAGUCAGGAUGAUUACAAAUUCAAAGCCAGCCUAAGUGAGGCCCUGUCUAAAAGACUCUACCUGGCUUGGGGAAAGCAAACAGCCUGUUGUUGUAAACUGCCCAUGGAGACUUCCAUGGCAGGGAACUGAAAGCAACCUCAAGUUGCUCUAGAGAGUGGUUCCUGGCUAACAGCUACCAGGAAAAGAGGAGCCUCAGUCUUUUUUUUUUAAAGAGAGAGAGAGAAUUUUAUUAUUUAUUUUUUAGUUUUUGGCGGACACAACAUCUUUGUUUGUAUGUGGUGCUGAGGAUCGAACCCGGGCCGUACUCAGGCAUGCCAGGCGAGCGCGCUACCACUUGAGCCACAUCCCCAGCCCCGGAGCCUCAGUCUUAGCAAUGAAAGAAACUAAGGGUUUAUAACAGCCAGAGAGCCUUAGAUAAGAAUCAAAGCCCCUUGGAUUUCAGCAGCUAACACACUGGACUUCUCACACUUGGAAAGUAGAUAACAUGUUUGUGUUGCUUAAGUUCCUAAAUUUUUGUUAAUUUGUUAUACAGGGCUGGGGAUGUGGCUCAAGCGGUAGCGCGCUCGCCUGGCAUGUGUGUGGCCCUGGUUCGAUCCUCAGCACCACAUACAAACAAAGAUGUUGUGUCCGCCGAAAACUAAAAAAUAAAUAUUAAAAAAAAUUCUCUCUCUCUCUCUCUUUAAAAAAGAAAAAAGAAAAAAAUUUGUUAUACAGUCAUAGAAAGCCAACAUAAGUGGCAUUAUUUUUUGUUUUGUUAAUUAUCUUCAUUUAUUUGUUUUUAUGUGGUGCUGAGGAUCAGACCUAGUGCUUCACCGGUUCUAGGCAAGCACUCUACCACUGGGUGAAUGAAAGGAAAUACUUUGAGACACGCAGCCCUGAUACUCAAAAAGUGUGUCCAUAAUGAAGCACAGAUCCUGGAGAUUUACUAUUGUUGAGUUCUUGUGCUCUGGGAACUGAGAGCUCCCAGGGAACGAGAAUGAUCCUAUCCCUAUAUAUAUAUAACACCCAUACUCGUUCAUAAAGAAGCCCUUAUAAGUUUAGUUUUCUGGGCCCCAGGAAUCCUUUGGGUUCAACAGGGAAUAUAAGUAUUCUAGAUUUGAGAUACUGAAGGUAUUGGAAGGGAUUGGGUGAGAUAAUCAGGAAGUUAAAAUAAUAAUAAAAAGAACUGGAGAUAUAGCUCAGCAUUCCAGUACUGUCCUCCCCCUGCAAAAAUGUGUGUGUGUGUGUGUGUGUGUAAAUGAACAGUCAUGAAACAGCUACCCAAGUUAAAAAUAAACAUUGUUGGGGCUAGGGUUAUAGCUCAGUGAUAGAGUGCUUACCUUGCACUUGUGAGGUACUGGGUUCAAUCCUCAGCGCCACAUAAAAAAUAAAUAAAUAAAUAAAAUAAAGACAUUUAAAAAAAAGAACAUUGUUACAUUCCCAAAAGCUCCAAUGAUAAAUCUCCCCUAGCUUUUGUGACAAUUUCUUUUAAAAUUAUUUUAGAUAUACAUGGCAGUAGAAUGUAUUUUGACACAUCACACAUAACAUGGAGUAUAACUUCCCAUUCUUGAGAAGAGGUUGAAUAUGAUGUGGAGUUUCGCUUGUCACAUAUUCAUAUAUAAAUAUAUUUGAAUAUAGGAAAGUUAUGUCCAAUUUGUUCUAAUUUUUCUGGUUCCUUUUCUGGACCCCUUCACCUUAUGUUUUCUAAUAGUUUUGUUUUUAGUCUUGCCCCUAUGUUUCACCUUGUUCCUUUGCUGAAAUAGAUGGCAGGGAUUAGUUCCCAAUAUCUAGCACUGGUAGUUGACAUUCGCUUAGUUGCAUCUGCUAGUUAUUUCUGGAUCCAUUACUUAUUUGCCUAGUAAGUAGCAAGCAGUAAAAAUAUCUCUUGAAAUGCCAGCUGUCUUCCCCCGUAAUGCGUAAUUAACCCAAGGUAGUUCGGUUAUAUGAUAGGGUUUUGUGUGAUUUCUCCUUCCUGACUUCCAAACCUCUUCUCAUGUAAUAAUAAUAAUGACACUAACAGAAUUGCAGUAUGUCUAUAUGUUUAAGACAAAAUUUGAAUCUCAUUGUUCAUAGAAACUUCUUGUAACACUCUCUGUGAGUUAUUAGGUACAAAGUGUAUUUGUUCAGCAUUUUCCAUGAAUCUCAGGUAUACCCAAAUUGCUUUCUUCUUUUGUCUUAUGUGAUAUUCCUUUUUUUCUUCCUAGAAUAAAAGAACAUCUCAGUAUAGUGUAGUAGUAUAUCUCCAACUUUUCAUAAAUACAAAAAUAAUUUAGAGAAGGAGUAAAAUAAAAUUCUGUUGCUGAGUGACUUAAUGAGUGAAAGUUUUAAUAUCUUUUAAUGACCAUUCAGAAAUAAAAACUUGGGCUUGGGAUGUAGCUCCAUGGUAGAGACCUUAACUAGCGUGGGAUGCACCCCCCCCCCCAAAAAAAAAUCAUUUUGAUAAUAAAAACAGUUAUUGAUGUAGUAUGUUUGUGGAAAUAGGUUUUCUAAAUGAAAUCUAAAAAUAGUAAGUUUAAUCAGACUUUAUUAUUUGCAAACUUUGCAGGUUAUCUUAUAAAAGACCAAAUCUGUUUAUUGCCAAACAAUAAGCUCCUGUCGAAUAAAUGUAUACUGAGGUUAGAUAAUACUUAGAAAACCAAAUAUUUUGCAUUUGAAUUGGUGUCUUGAAGUAGUAUUGAUGUUUUCCAUUUUAGUUGUUUUUUUUAUUUUUCGUUGUAAAUGGACACAAUUUUAUUGAAUUUAUUUUUAUGUGGUGCUAUGAAUCGAACCCAGUGCCUCACGCCUGCUAGGUACUCUACCACUGAGCCCCAUCUCCACCCCAAUAUUAGUUGUUUUCUAAGAGGAGAAAAGAAUUCAAGCUAGAAAUCUGUUUAAGUUGUCUAACCCAUAGUUGAACCUUAAGUUAAGGUUAAAUGCAAAAUAUAAUGAAAGGAUUAUGUAGGACUUUAGGACUAUAGUCCAUAGUCUUUAGGACUCUAUACAUUAUUUGGAGUGACACCAGCAUAAUUAAGUCCUAUCUGUGGGUAUGGGAGGAAAUGAAAGCCAGUCAGCCACUCAUUUUGAACUAAGGAAUCUAAUAAACUUGUAACUAGUGGAUUGCAUGUCUCUAAAUUUACUUUCAUCUUAGUGUAUUCAUUUUGUGUGUAAUCCAUAUUAAACAUUAACCUCCAUUACAAUUCCAGGGUUACACUAAGUGUCAGUGCCUCGCCGAAUUGCUACGGCUAGUCUUCAACUUUCAAUCUUCUCACUCAGCUUCCUGGGUCUUUGGGAUUAGCAGGCAUGCACCACCACAUCAGGUUCUAAAAGCAAAUUCUGUGUAGUAGCCUGCAUUUGGAGUCAUUCUCACAUUGACUGUUUUCCCUUUUCUCUCCAUUGUUUUAUUCUUUUCUUUGAAAUGAGUCCUUAUCAGGUGAGCAUUUAUACUCCCACAUAAUUAUUAGAUUUUGGCAGAAAUUUUGACUCCUUUUUCUGUCACUUUGGGUCUUGUCAGGGACUAGUUGUCUUGUUAUUCUGUAGAUUCGGGUGGAAAAGGUGAUAUAGUUUCUUGAGUGCAAACGUUCAGUUAACUCCCUGUACUCCCCUACCUCUGGAGCCCCUGAUGAUGGCAGGAGUGGGAAGAAUUCAAUCCGAGCAGCCCAGUUGGCUCCAAUGCCUGUUAAUUUCAGGGGCUCCUCAGCUCCCUCCAAAGAAUUACUAUAUUAGGCAGUAGGAUAGAUGUGUUAAUGAGAAUACAUGAGGGGUAAUUUCUUUACUACUCUCAUCUGAUUCCCCAGGAGUUCUGAGUUGAGUUGUGAACUAAAUGGAGUAUUCAAAAGUCUACAAACCAUCUUGCUGGAAUUUAUACCUUUAUUCGGUCUUCAAUUUUUUGUUCCAAGGUUCUUCCAUCUACUAUGGUUGUCUUGGGGUGCUGCUGAUUUCUGUGUCCAAAUCAGGUACCUCCUCCUGUCCAUUCCCAUAACACCCUAUGAAAAGGUAGCUGGCAUCCUGGGUUACACUUCUUUGGUACUUUCAGUAUCUGCCCAGUGUGACAUAGCCAUUUUAUGUUUCAGUUGAGUUGAUGGUAGCUGUGAAACAGUGUUAUGGUUUUACAGUUUUCACUGUCCUUGCUUGUUUUGUCCUUCAUUUGUUUUUCUUCACUUAAAUCUAUUAUCUGCUAGUGUAUCAUUAGUAUUACUUUUAUGUUAACGCAUUUUCUUCCACAGUUGCUUUGACUGUUUUUGUUUUUGCCUUAGGAUCAAACGGAGUGCCUCGGCAUGCUAGGCCUGGGCCCUACCACUGAGCUACUUUCCCAGCUCAAAAUAUUAAAUAUAAUUUAAUUUGCAGCUCCGAUGAUCCGUUUAGUUGAAUUUUUAAUUUAGUUAUAUUCUAUUUGUUUAUUUAUUCAUUGAACUGUGGACUAAUCCCAGGGGUAUGUGGCACUGAGCUACAUCCCCAGCCUUUUCAUACCCUUAUUUAUUUAUUUAUUGGUACUGGGGAUGGAAACCAGGACCUCUCUACCACUAAGCUGCAUUCUCAGCCCUUGUUAUAUUUUUUAUUUUUAAAUAAUAUUAGCUGAAAUGUAUAGAAUUUUUUUUUAAAAAAAUAUUUAUUAUUUACUUUUGGUUGGAAACAAUAUAUUUUAUUUUUAUGAGGUGCUGAAUAUCUAACCCGGUACGUCACGCAUGCUAGGCGAGCACUCUACCACUAAGCCCACAACCCCAUCUCCCUAUUUUUUAUUUUUGUAACAGAGUCUUGCCAAGUCACUAAGGGUCUUACUACCUAGCUGAGGUUGGUUUAGGAUAGUACUCAACUUGAGAUCCUCCUGCCUCAGCCUCUUAAAUCAGUGGGAUCACAGGUGUAUACCACCACAUCUAUCUAAUUUAGUUGAAGUAAAAAUAGUUUGAAACUCAGCAGUUGAAUAAACAUCAUACUUUCAAACCUAAAAAGACAUCUUAAUUUUACCCUUUCCGAAAAGUGAUCUUUUUAGCAAUUUAGGGUAUCUCCCAAACUAAGAGCAAAGAUGUUAGAACUUUCAAUUACAGAUGAUGGGUUGUUUCUGUUUUUUUCAGUUGUAGAUGGACACAAUACCAUUAUUUUGUUUAUUUAGUUUUAUGUGGUGCUGGAGAUGGAACCCAGGGCCUGGACACAUGCUAGGCAAGUGCUACAACCCCAGCCCUAGAUGAUGGUUUUUUUGUUUGUUUUGUGGUAAUGGGGAUGGUAACCUAGGUCCUCUUUUUGCUAGACAAGCGCUCUACCACUGAACUUCACACUGAUUGAUAAAUGACAACUAUUGAAGCAUGUUAAACAGAUUAGUGAUAAGGUCAAUAUUACUUGUGAUAAAUGCUAAUUGUUCUAUAGUAUUCUAAAUGUUGAGAAACUUGGGGCUGUUUUCAAGUAGAAUAUGAUCAAAGUUUUUUGGACCUCAUUGCAUAUGGAACUGAACUAUAACCCAAUUGUUAUGGGUGGUUUGGAUCCAGGAACAUAUAAGGAUGCAUCCAAGAAUUAAUGUUUAAAAAAAGGGGGGGGGGCGACCAAAAAUGGAAUCCUUCAAAUUCUUUACUCUUAAUAAUUUAAGUUGUUCAAUCUUUUGGAUGAUAUUAAGAAUUUUAGGGCUGGGGAUGUGGCUCAAGCGGUAGCGCACUCGCCUGGCAUGUAUGCGGCCAGGGUUCGAUCCUCAGCACCACAUACAAACAAAAAUGUUGUGCCUGCCGAAAACUAAAAAAUAAACAUUAAAAAAUUCUCUCUCUCUCUUAAAAAAAAAGAAUUUUAAAAAGUGAAGCAAAACACUAAUUGAAUGUUGAAAUCUUUUUUGUCCUUCUAACACUAGUAAGUAAAACAUUACUGUUUAAAUUAUUUGCAUUUUAGGAAGUAAGUUUGGGUGUGUUUAUUUAUGAACCACUGUAUUUCUCCCAUGAAUUUAUUAUUCAAAACCCAUUUUGUACUUUGGUGAACAAGACUUCCAUUGUACAGCCUGCCAUUGUCUUUAUCUAAAUUUCCUUUAUUCCUGAGUGCCUGGCUAUUAUCCUUGUAGAGAAGCUUAAUUCUUCGAUGGUUCAGAGGAGUUUUAUUUUACUGCUGUCUUUCCCUCCUUAAUGACAAAAAUAGUGAUUCUCCAUGUUUUGUUUGUUUUUUUUUUUUUGUAGACAACCAGUAAUUAAUUUGAUAAUUUUUCAUCGAUAUUAAAUUUCACUACUAUAUCCUCCUACUGGUUCUAUUAACUUUACUCAUUAACCCAGUAGAGGAGAACAUUGUUUGUCUGGUUCUACCCUAUUGUUUUCUGUGUUUAUAAGGAAACAUUUUUUUAAUUUAGAGGACAAUUUCCUUUCAUUUGUUUAAAAACUUUUUUCUUGACUUAAUUCUCAUUUACUGUUGCACAUGAACUUUAGAAACAAACUGAAUUUGUAGACUGAGGAGGGGGUGAAAGUCUCUCACUUGUCUCAGUAAUGCUGGAGAUCCAACCAAGAGCCUCAAACAUACUGGGAAGUGCUCUACCACUGAGCCAAUCCCCUAACCCUAGAAUGAACAUCUUUUAGUGUUUGGCCUUCUAAUCUAGGACAACUAUUAUGUUCUCCUCGGCUGUGCUUUCUUUUUAUAAUCUUUAUAUUUAUAUUCUUAUGUUUUUUACAUUUUUCUGUGUUUUAGCAACUCUAAUGAAGUAUAAUUUACAAUGCAUUCUACUUAAAAUAAUCCCUUUCUCUAUGUUUAAUUCAGGCUCUAAAACAAACUUCUAUUGGGUUAUUGCUGGUAUAUUGCUGGAAGAGUGGCUCAGUUGUAAAGCCCAUGAAGUUGUAAUGUCCCUGGGUUCAGUUCCCAGUAUCAAAUUCAAGUAGCCAGGCAUGGUGGGGCACACCUAUAAUGCCAGCUUGGGUCAAGAGUUCAAAGCCAGCCUCAGCAAUUUAAUGAGGUCCCAAGCAACUUAGUGAUAGCCUAACUGAAAAUAAAAUAUUAAAAGAGGCUGGGGCUAUGGCUCAGUAGUUAUGUGCCCCUGGAUUAAAUCCCUGAUUUAAUCUUUUUAGGGGAUGGGGUUCUGGAGAUUAAAACAUGUCCUUCCUGCAUUCUACUACUGAGAUAUAUCCUCCGCCCAAGAAAUCUUCCGAGAUAGGUUAUCAAAAAAUCUAUUGCCUAUUUCCAUCCCUUCUGUAAAAAUCCUGUCCCCAAAGUUACCAGUACUGCCAAUGAAAAUGAUUGGUCUUCAACAGCCCUUUUUCUCAGCAAUUCAAACUACUGUUCCACUUACUAUUUGGGGAAAGCUCAUUCUUUACUUUGCUUUUUGUAAUAUAGCUUUCACCAUCUCCCGUCAGCUUUCAGUUAGUCUCUUAUAAGCCUUCUUAGGUGAGCUUAUCCAUGGUUUUGUGUUAAGUACUCACCAAUAUGCAAGUUACUGCCAUGUCCUGCUACUUGCUGUUGAAAAUGGCCUUGAAAGGCAGCAGGGAGGAAAGCAAGAAUAUUUUUCAGAGGUGAAGGUCCAGGAAAGAUUUUGGGUAACUGUUGAGUCUUCAGUUAAUUUUUUUAUUUUUCUUUUAAGAAAAAUUCUCAGCAUUUAGCAUAUGGCUCAAUGUGUUAUGCAUGAGGCCAUGGGUUCAAUUUCCUAGUACUAUACACACGCACACACAAAAUAGGAUCUUGCUAAGUUUCUUAAGACCUCACUAUGUUACAGAGACUGGCAUCAAAGGUGCUAUCCUCUUGACUCAGUUUCCUGCAUUGCUGGUAUUACAGAUGUGAGCCAUCAUGCCCAGCUUGAGCUGUCUUGGAAACAGAGGCAGCAUUAUCUUUAUCUCAGAGAUCCCUGAAUUAGAACCAUCUCUCUAUAUAAUAAUUUUGUAAAGAGAGUUUUAUAAUGACAGAAGGCAUUUUCUGUCAACAUAUGGGUAGAAUUUUUCUUUAACUUUGUCUCAUGGUCCCUGUUUCCCAAAAAUCUUAGCAUAACAUUUGUACUAUCUUUUUUACCAUGAUUAACUCUAUUUUCAUCCUGGAAAGGGGCUCACUUCUUUCCAAUCAAGAAGUCUGACCCUGCUUUGCACCCUGAUUCAUACAAACCCCUUAUAAUUCUUUGUAUUCCCUGCUCACAGUAUUACAUGAGAAAAAUGCAUUGCAGUCAUUUUCUCCUUUUGUGGAAAUGAUACAUGACUAUAUUUAGCAUGCUUACAAAACUUAAUACACACUGAUUAUUAUCCCAAUGUUUGGGCAUUCAAAAUAUAUACAGCUGUGCACAGUGGUGCAGGACUAUUCCCAGCAACUUGGGAGACUGAGACAGAAUGAUCACAAAUUUGAGGCCAGCCUCAGCAAUUUAGUUAGACCCUUUUCCAACAUAAGAAACACAAAAGAGUUGGCUAUGUGGCUCAGUGCUAAAACAACCCUGAUUCAACCUCAAAGAAUUUUGUUUUCAUUUACAGAUAAAAAUAAACACAAAAAUAAAUAGUCAGUCCUUCUUAUCUGAGGGUCCUCCAACCCCAAACUCAACCCUCUGUGUAUCAAAAAUACUUGUCCUGGCUAUAAACGUAGCGCAGUGGUAAAAUGUGUGUUUCUCAUACAAGAAGACUCAGAUUUUAAUUCCAGUUCCCUGAAAUCACAUCAAAAAUCUAUAGUAAUCAUCACUGCGCCAAGGGCAGGAAUGGGAUUUAGGCUAAAAAAGAAAUUACGUUUUUACUGAACAUGUAUAAAUACUUUUUAUUUUUGACAUUUUCCCCCAAACAUUAUAAAUUAUAACUUUAUUUAUAGUUAAUAUAAAUAACUAUUUAUAUUAAUUAUAAAUAACUAUUUAUAUUAACUAUAAAUAACUAUGGUAUUUAUUUAUAUGUGUGUAUUGUACUGGGUAUUGAAUCCAGGUCCUUGGUCAUGCUAUGAAUUUUAAAGGGUUCUCUACUUUCUGCACACAGUAAAAGAUUUUUCUGGGGCCUGGCACCAUUGUGCACACGUGUAAUCCCAGGGACAUGGAGACUAAGGCAGGGUGAUCAUAAGUUCCAGGCUAGCCCGGGGAAGUGACUGAGUCUCAAAAUAAUAAAGACUGGGGAUUUAGCUCAGUCAUAGAAAAAAGAUUUCUACAAAGAUAUUUGGUCUUCAAAUUUCUGCUCAAAAUAGGUUUAUUCUCUCCUUUUGCUUGCCAGCAGUACUUUGAAAAAGAAGGGUGACAUUGAAAGACUCAUGUCCCAAUUUCAAAAUGCAUCCCAAAGCUAUCAAAACAGUGUUGUUCCUGUCAUAAGUCUUGACAUAAUAUGUCAAUGGAACAGAAUCAAGAGUUGAUCAUAAAGCUUCACAUUUAUGGUCACUUCAUUUUUCAGUAAAUAUGCCAAGACAAGAAUCAUUAGGAAAGAAUAAUCUUCAAUAAAUAUAGCUGGGGUAGUUAGAGGUCCACCAUAUAAUUUUUUAUUAGAUGAUAUAAUAUGAAAAAUACUAGUGGGGGCUGGGGAUAUAGCUCAGCUAUAGCUUGCUCCACAUGCACAGAGCCCUGGGUUAAAUCCCCAGCAACACACACACACACACACAAGAUACAAAUGGGAUAAGUGGCUAGACAUGGUGGUUCAAGCCUGUGAUCCCAGCAGCUCAGGAGGUUCAGAUAGGAGGAUCAAAAGUUCAAAGCCAGCCUCAGCAACUUUAUGAGGCACUAAACAACUCAGCAAUACCCUAUCUCUAAAUGAAACAUAAAAUGAGGGCUGUUGAUGUAGCUCAGUGAUUCGGCACCUCUUGAUUCAAUCUCUGUUACCAAAAUAAAGAAAAAAAGACUAGAAGUGAUUAAGAAAAAAUUAAAGAUAAAUUGGGCUAAAAAGAAUAAAUAAAAUAAUUGAACUUCAUCAACACUGAAAUUUUUGUGCUAUGAAGGACUCUGAAAUAGGGAAAAGACAGCUAACAAAAUGGGAGAAAAUAACUUUAACUCAUACAUUUUUUUAAUGCCCAUUGGAGUAUACAUGAACAAACCCAGAACUUAAUGCAUGAUCGUAAACAUGUGCUCUACUACUGAGCUACACUGCUAGUCUUGUUUUACUUACACAUUUUUAUUAUGAGAAAGCACUAAGUUACACUGGCUGGCCUGGAAUUGGUGAUGCUCCUGCCUCAACCUCUCAAAUUGCUGGAAUUACAGAAAUGGGCUGACAGUAUCUCACUUAGUUGCUUGAUGCCUGGCUAUUUUGCUGAGGCUGGCUUUGAACUUGUGAUUGUCCUACCUCUGCCUCCCGAGUUGCUGGGAGUACCCAUGUGAGCCCGCCAUGGCAGGUGACAAAAAUUUUUAAUGAGAGAUUCUGUGUCAUUAGUAGCGCAAAAUGAAGGAUUUGAAAUUUUCAUAAAAUAUAACCACAUUGGGUUUUUGUGGUUUUUAAAUAUUCACUCAACAAAUAUUUGAUGUGAGCCUCUGAUGAAAUGAAUUCUGUGCUCAGUAACCAUGUUUCCAGUGGUAGAGCAAACAAACAUAAAAUAGUAGUUAAGAUUUAUUAGAUCCUAAUAUGCUACUUUAGAAAGGUUAAGAGAUGCGCCAAAAUGACCUGAACUAAUAAAUGAAAAAGAAAAAGAUGAUUAAAGUAAACCUGUUAUUUCACUAUAACUUACCUACAGAAGACAGCAUAAAUCCUAAGCUCACAAAAUUUUUAAAAAGUGAACACACUUGUGUUGUCAGUGUGCAAUAUAAUUGUACCUCAGAAACAUUCUUCUCCCCUCUUAAUCCCUAGCUACCUACCAAAAAUGUCACUCUCCUUCUCUUCUGACAUUUUGUAUUAUAAAAAGAAGUCAUUUUUUGCCUCUCAGCACUGUAAUUAUGAGAUUAAUUCAUAUUGUGUAUAAUUAUAAAUCAUUCUCAUUGCUAAGUAGUAUUCUUUUAUUAUGAAUAGUUAAAAUUUAUUGGGCGCUUCUGCUGGUAAUGACGUUUCAGUUAUUUCCAGUUUGGGAUAAUUAUGAAUAAUGCCUCUGACUUUGGGAAACAAGGAAGUGCAUUUGUGUCUAGUGGAGUUCCUGGAUUGUGAAUAGAUGACAUGUUUAGCUGAUUAGAUUUGUUGAUACUAAUAGUUUUCCAAAAUUAAUUCUCAUUUCUUACAUUUUCAUGCACAGUAUACAAGAGUGUUUCUGAACUUUUUUAGUAUUUAAUAUUUUGUUUCUUGUAAGGGUUCUAUUUAGUUAUGUAGUUUCUCUUCUUUAAACCCUCCCACCGAUUAUUGUACCUGUAAUUGAAUCCAGAGGCAUUUAACCUCUGAGCCACAUCACAAACCCUUUUUUCGAUUUGUGUUUGACAGGGUCUCAUUGAGUUGCUUAGGGCCUAAGUUGCUGAGUCUGAGACUGGAUUUAUAGUUAUGAUUCUCCUACUUUGGCCUGUGGAGCUGCUUGAAUUCAGUGAUAGGCCACCUCGCCCACUCUGCCUCCUGCCUCGCCUUUUUUUUUUCUUUUUUAAUAAUUUGUUAUGAGAGCAAAAUGCAAUUUAAUUUACAUCCUACUUUUUUUUUUCUUCCUGUCUUUCUUCCUGUGUUGAGGAUCAAAUUGUCGUCGGGCAUACUAGACAAGCGCUCCUAUCACUUAACUACAUUCUCAGUUCCAUCUUAACCAUGUUUAAGUGUAGGGAUCAGUAGAGUUUAGUAUAUUCAGUGAUGUGAAACAGAUCUCCAGAACUUUUUCAUCUUGUGAAUUUCAAUCUAUUCCUAUUAAAUAACAACUACUGUCUUUUCCCCCUAGCUUCUGGUUCUUUCUAAUUAUAUAAAUGUGACUGUUUUAGAUACCUGAUAUAAAUAGAUUCAUGCAGUAUUUGUCAUUUUUGUGACUGGUUAUUUUCUUUAUUAUAAUGGCUUUAUUUCUUUCAAUAUUUUUAUAUAUUUCAGAGAACUUAGAUUUAAUACCUCAACCCCUUAUUGAACCACGAUCCAUAUUUACUGACUCAGCUCCUAGACAUUAUGCUUAAUUUUCUAUAGUUCACUGAAGAAAAACAUCUGUGAAAGACCCAUAUAUCAUCAAUAUCAUCACAAGGUAUAUCUUCUUUGCUAGGCUGGGGGUUGGUGUAGCUCAGUGUUAGAGCACUUACCAAGCAUGUGUGAAGCCCUGGAUUCAGUUCCCAGCCUUGCAAAAAAGAAUCCUCUUUCCUAGGUUUAGUCAUUGCACUUGGGUAUCUGAGGUAGGAGAAGCAUUUGAAAGUAGUCUGGGCAACUGAUCAAGACUCCAUCUCGCUGGUCACAACAGUGCACUUCUGUGAUUCCAGAGUCACAACCCUAAGUUACGUAGGGCCUUGCUAAUCAAUUAUUAUAUUUUGCAUUUUGCAAGUCAGCUGCACCAUUUUAGUCUUAUGAUUAAAAUAGGUGUGAUACAGUCUUGUAAUAGCAUAACGAAAUCAUAGAAAUUGCAUGGUCAUUGGUUUACAUGGUAUCCUAUAUAGUAACAUGAGACACAAAAGUAAUCUAUACCUUUGUCACAGUUCAGUGUCAAGUUUGUUGAUGGAACCCAGGGGCUUUUAAGCACUCAGCCACAUCCCCAGCCCUUUUUAUAUUUUUAUUCUGAGACUUUGUCUUGAUAAGUUGCUGAGGAUGGUUUUGAAUUCCCAAUACUCCUGCCUCACCUCAUAAGCCCCUGGGAUCACAGGUGUGCAGUACUCCAUCCUGCUCUACAUUUAUUUUUAAUAUUGGGAUUCCUGGUUUCUUUCCAUUUGUGGAAAAGCAGAGCAGGUAUUUAAAUUUUCCUGAGUCCUCGGUUUCCCCUUUUGGAACCCAAACAAAUAAUCUUGUUUUUUAAAUUUUUUUUAGUUGUCAAUGUAACUUUAAUUUUAUUUAUAUGCGGUGCUGAGACUUGAACCCAGUGCCUCACACAUGCUAGGUAAGCGCUCUACCACUGAGCUACAACCCCAUCACAAAACAAAGAAUGUUGCACUAUUUUUUUAAAGAAAGAAAUAAGCUAAUAUAUAACUAUCCAGAACUUAAAGAGAAAUGUCCAUUGCAUUUAAAUGUAGGAUACUAGUUUUUCAUAGAUGAAUGCAUUCUGCUUUUGCAGGUUAUAAGAAGAAGCAGUGAGGAAGAAAAAGUUCUUUGUUUGGUCCGUGUGCGUACAGGCCACCACUGUGAAACUGCUGUGAUGGUGGUGUUCAUCAUGAUAUGGGACGCCUUAUGUCCUCCAAUUGCCGAUAGUUUGUAUCAGGAGAUUGUUGAGAGUCUACGGUCAUACAAUGGUCAUCCGACAGACCGAAGAUGUACCUUCAAUGAAAAGUAAUCAAAUCUGUUUUGUUCUGAUUUGACAGUCAGAUCCCUAUUAUAUAAUGGUAAAUUGUUAAUUAACUAACAACUAAGUAUACUGUAUGGGAAAAUAAUAUUUUAGGUAUUCUGGUAGAAUAAACAAAUAUUUUGUUAAACAGAAAUUAGUGUCAUUGAUAGGGCCAUUUUAGAAUAUUCUCCAAAUAAAUGCAGUGGGGAACAAUGCUAUUGAUUGAACCUAUUUCAUAUUAACCAAGCAUUCUAACAGUGUGCUCUAUCCCCAGCCCCUCAUAUUUUUUACCACUUUCUUCUUUUUUGAACCCAGAUAUGUUUUAAUUUUGAGACAGAUCUUGCUAAAUUGCUUAGGGUCUUGCUAAAUUUCUGGGGCUAACCUUAAGAUUGUGAUCUCCUGCCUCAACCUUCCAGAUUGCCAGGUAUUCAAACAUGCACAGGAAAGUAGGUAUAGCACAAAGAAAGGUACUUCAAAAGAAUUUGUAUCAUUUUGUAUUUGUUCUAUUCAAAAUAAGAGAAUAUUUGCUUUUACUCCUCUCCAGCCAUUGAUUAUGUUGUCAAAUUUGAAUUUUUGUCUAUUAAUGUCAUCAGCAUAAUUUUAAUUGCAUCUUAUUAUGAACCAGUAUUUUUUCAAAUGGUCAGGAGCCACUUACCAUUGGAUUUUUGUUUUGAGAAGAGUUUUGACCUUGACAUAGCUGUUGCUACCUUUUGCAGGCAAGCAUCCCUCCUACCACAACUUCCUGAGUGCUGGAAUUAUAUGUGGGCACCACUGAACCCAGCCCCUUUUUUAUAUUGUAGUAAAUCCUUUGGUAGCUCUUGCAGGACAUUUUUUCUAUGGGAUUGUUCUUAACUUUUUUUCUCCCCUGUUUUUUUUUUAUAUAUCAAUGCUACUAAAAGUUUGCCUGGUUUAUAAUUUGCAAAUUAUUUUCCCAGAUCAUUUUUCUUUAUGCUUUUUGUUGUUGUUGUUGUAGGUGGACACAAUACUUUAUUUCAUUUUUCAUGGUGCUGGAGGUACAAACCCAGUGCCUCACAUGUACUAGGCGAUCACUCUACUACUGAGCCACAACCCCAGUCCAGUCCCUCUUUAUGCUUUUUCUGUGCCGUUUUUG
rnacentral:lncRNA from 1 species